AACGAACGCUGGCGGCAUGCCUAACACAUGCAAGUCGAACGAGACCUUCGGGUCUAGUGGCGCACGGGUGCGUAACGCGUGGGAACCUGCCCUUAGGUUCGGGAUAACUCCCCGAAAGGGGUGCUAAUACCGGAUAAUGUCUUCGGACCAAAGAUUUAUCGCCUUUGGAUGGGCCCGCGUUGGAUUAGCUAGUUGGUAGGGUAAAAGCCUACCAAGGCGACGAUCCAUAGCUGGUCUGAGAGGAUGAUCAGCCACACUGGGACUGAGACACGGCCCAGACUCCUACGGGAGGCAGCAGUGGGGAAUAUUGGACAAUGGGCGAAAGCCUGAUCCAGCAAUGCCGCGUGAGUGAUGAAGGCCUUAGGGUUGUAAAGCUCUUUUACCCGGGAUGAUAAUGACAGUACCGGGAGAAUAAGCCCCGGCUAACUCCGUG
rnacentral:rRNA from 1 species